UACGUAGGGACCAAGCGUUGUUCGGAUUUACUGGGCGUAAAGGGCGCGUAGGCGGCAAUUCAAGUCAGCUGUGAAAUCUCCGGGCUUAACUCGGAACGGUCAGCUGAUACUGCUUUGCUAGAGUGCAGAAGGGGCAAUCGGAAUUCCCAGUGUAGCGGUGAAAUGCGUAGAUAUUGGGAAGAACACCUGAGGCGAAGGCGGGUUGCUGGGCCGACACUGACGCUGAGGCGCGAAAGCCAGGGGAGCAAACGGG
rnacentral:rRNA from 1 species